rnacentral:lncRNA from 1 species
AUGCUAAUUGCGCCGAUUAAUUACUAAAGUUUCCGUAAUUGCGCUAUUUAGCAUAACUCCUAUUCUAGACCUUGGAUUGACAUGAAAUUUUAGGGACAUGCUUAGAAUUCAGUAACUAAGGUUAUUGUCCUUUCACAUGUCCAAAAUUCUUGUUUUAAAGUAAAAAGGGCGUUAUGGUCAACUUUUAGGCGUUUAACGGAAAUGUGUAAAAGACUCGGACAAACAACGAACCGGUCACAGAGGGUUGCACCAUCAUGUAACCUGGUCCUAAGAGAGUCCUAAGGCAUAUCUAAAUCAUACCACAACGGGUCAGAACUGAAGUCAAAGCAAAAGUCAAAGCUUUGCGACUUUCGGUUCCGAACCGGGUCAAAAUAGUAAAUGGUCGGAUCAAACAAGCUUAGACUAGUUAAUAUACUUAUUAUCAUGAUAUAUGAGUGUUAUACGCCUUCUACAUUGCUACUUAUGCGCUAAAUCG